GACGAACGCUGGCGGCGUGCCUACUACAUGCAAGUCGAACGCAGUGGGGACGGGUGAGUAACACAUGGGUAACCUCCCAUAAGAGGGGAUAACACUUGGAAACAGGUGCUAAACCCAUACUGAUGGAUGGACCCGCGGUGCAUUAGCUAGUUGGUGAGGUAACGGCUCAGCAAGGCCACGAUGAAUAGCAGCACUGCGAGGGUGAGCCGCCACACAGGGGCUGAGACACGGUCCAGACUACUACGGGAGGCAGCAGUAGGUAAUAUUCGGCAAUGGACGAGAGCCUGAACGAUCAACGCCGCGUGAGUGAAGAAGGUUUUCGGAUCGUAAAACUCUGUUGUUAGAGAAGCGGUAUCUAACCAGAAAGCAACGGCUAACUACGUGCCAGCAGCGGAGGGAAUUC
rnacentral:rRNA from 1 species